UACGUAGGGAGCGAGCGUUGUCCGGAAUUACUGGGUGUAAAGGGUGCGCAGGCGGCGUGUCAAGUCAGCGGUAAAAUGUCGGGGCUCAACCCCGGCCGGCCGUUGAAACUGGCGUGCUCGAGUUGGAGAGAAGUAUGCGGAAUUCGUGGUGUAGCGGUGAAAUGCAUAGAUAUCACGAAGAACCCCGAUUGCGAAGGCAGCAUACCGGCUCCACACUGACGCUGAGGCACGAAAGCGUGGGUAUCGAACAGG
rnacentral:rRNA from 1 species